rnacentral:rRNA from 1 species
GACGAACGCUGGCGGCGUGCCUAACACAUGCAAGUCGAACGGAAAGGCUCUGCGUUUGUGUGGUGCUCGAGUGGCGAACGGGUGAGUAACACGUGAGUAACCUGCCCUUGACUUUGGGAUAACUUCAGGAAACUGGGGCUAAUACCGCAUAGGACCUCCUGCUGCAUGGUGGGGGUUGGAAAACUUCGGCGGUUGGGGAAGGACUCGCCGGUUAUUAGCCUGUUGGUGGGGUAGUGGCUUACCAAGGCCUUGACGGGUAGCCGGCCUGAGAGGGUGACCGGCCACAUGGGGACUGAGAUACGGCGCAGACUCCUACGGGAGGCAGCAGUGGGGAAUAUUGCACAAUGGGCGGAAGCCUGAUGCAGCAACGCCGCGUGCGGGAUGACGGCCUUCGGGUUGUAAACCGCUUUCGCCUGUGACGAAGCGUGAGUGACGGUAAUGGGUAAAGAAGCACCGGCUAACUACGUG